rnacentral:misc_RNA from 1 species
AAGUCGUAACAAGGUCUCCGUAGGUGAACCUGCGGAGGGAUCAUUAAUGAGAACUUGCCCGUAACGGGUAGAUCUCCCACCUUGUUACAAACAUGUUGCUUGUCUGGCCCGACCUCGGGUCCGCGGCCCUUCGGGCUGGUCAGCGCCCGGACAGAGGAAACUAAAAUCCUUUUAUCAGCUGUCGUCAGGCAGUACCUAUAUAAUAGUUAAAA